rnacentral:misc_RNA from 1 species
CAGAUAAAUUAGUAAAAUCUUCAUAAAUAAUAUUUCGAUGGAAAUUACUGUUGACAGAAAUUGGUCACCAAUCAGGUGAAAUUCAUCAACCACCAAAAUUCUAUUCAAAUAGACAACAUAGAAGCCAAAGCAUAAAAUCGUGAAAGUUUCACCCAACAAAACUUCUGGUUUGCAUAGUCAGAAGGAAAACAUUCAUGUUCUCUAAGACGAAGAAAAGUGUGCAUCUCCAUAUUUAAAAUCAAUACUCGGAUGGAGUAAUCACAUCAUCAAUCUUUAGGAUCAUCUUGACGACCUGAGUUGCAAGCAAAAUCUGUUGUUGCUUACCAAUUAGAGUCUCAAAGACAUUUUGUUCACGCAUGUCAUUUGUGCCAACAUCAUUACAAUCUAUUCCACAGCAUGGAUUAUUCUCCUUAAUUUGUUGAGACUUAACAGCAGAUAGAGUUUCAAUAGGCUGGAGACCACUGUUCUCAGCAAGUGCCAUUGGGACAGCAUCCAAAGCAUCUGCAAAUGCCCUGAUUGCGUACUGUUCAACUCCUGGAUGUUUAUCAGCAGCCGCUUCAACAGCAAUUGAGCAAGAAAUCUCUGCUGAACCACCACCAUAUACAAUUGAAUUGUUGCGAAUAAGAUUUCUAGCAACACAUAAAGCAUCAUGGAUACUACGUUUUGUCUCCUCUAUCAUCAUCUUGUUUCCACCACGGAUAAAUAUAGUUACUGCUCUUGAAUUUGCACAAUGCUCAAUGUAGAUCAUUCUAUCCUUUGUUGUACCGAAAGAUUUCUCCCGAACAAUACCAGCCUUGCCAAGUUUUUCGGGUGUCAACUCUUGAAACCUUGGUACUAUUCUCCCACCUGUGGCAAUUGCUAUCAGCUCCAAUUCCACACCACCUACCCAUCUAACAGCAGGCAAAUUUCUAUGCAUUAAUAAGUGAUUAGCUUCAUCAUCAAAGCCCCACUGGCAGAUAACUAAGGUGGCACCAACAUCCUUGCACUUCUGGACCAUGUCAUCAAAGUACUUCUGCUCCUGUAGGCGUAAAGUUUGAAACUUCUCCACAGUAUCAAUGUCAACCUUAUGCUUAGUCUUUGGCUUAGGAGGCUCAAAGGGACAUGUCAAAAUUGCAAUUUUUGCAUCCUCAAUUUGCUUUGGCAUCUGUGGAUGACUCAUAUCUUUGUCAACUAUAAUACCAUAAAUUAGCUCUGUGUCCUCUAACUUCCCACCAACUUUCCCUUCAACUUUGAUUAAGUCCAGGUUUACAUCCUUCCUCUCUAAAUCAGCAACUGCUAACACAGCUUUAACAGCAAUUUCAGCCAUGCUACGUUUGCAUCUAUUCACAAUCUUAGAUGACAAAGUAGUCAUGCAAGUUUGA